rnacentral:rRNA from 1 species
UAGGGAAUCUUCGGCAAUGGACGAAAGUCUGACCGAGCAACGCCGCGUGAGUGAAGAAGGUUUUCGGAUCGUAAAACUCUGUUGUUAGAGAAGAACAAGGACGUUAGUAACUGAACGUCACCUGACGGUAUCUAACCAGAAAGCCACGGCUAACUACGUGCCAGCAGCCGCGUUAAUACGUAGGUGGCAAGCGUUGUCCGGAUUUAUUGGGCGUAAAGCGAGCGCAGGCGGUUUCUUAAGUCUGAUGUGAAACCCCCCGGCUCAACCGGGGAGGGUGAUUGGAAACUGGGAGACUUGAGUGCAGAAGAGGAGAGUGGAAUUCCAUGUGUAGCGGUGAAAUGCGUAGAUAUAUGGAGGAACACCAGUGGCGAAGGCGACUCUCUGGUCUGUAUCUGACGCUGAGGCUCGAAAGCGUGGGGAGCAAACAGG